rnacentral:rRNA from 1 species
GGAAUUACUGGGCGUAAAGAGCUCGUAGGUGGUUUGUCGCGUUGUUCGUGAAAUCUCACGGCUUAACUGUGAGCGUGCGGGCGAUACGGGCAGACUUGAGUACUGCAGGGGAGACUGGAAUUCCUGGUGUAGCGGUGGAAUGCGCAGAUAUCAGGAGGAACACCGGUGGCGAAGGCGGGUCUCUGGGCAGUAACUGACGCUGAGGAGCGAAAGCGUGGGGAGCGAACAGGAUUAGAUACCCUGGUAGUCCACGCCGUAAACGGUGGGUACUAGGUGUGGGUUUCCUUCCUUGGGAUCCGUGCCGUAGCUAACGCAUUAAGUACCCCGCCUGGGGAGUACGGCCGCAAGGCUAAAACUCAAAGAAAUUGACGGGGGCCCGCACAAGCGGCGGAGCAUGUGGAUUAAUUCGAUGCAACGCGAAGAACCUUACCUGGGUUUGACAUGCACAGGACGCCGGCAGAGAUGUCGGUUCCCUUGUGGCCUGUGUGCAGGUGGUGCAUGGCUGUCGUCAGCUCGUGUCGUGAGAUGUUGGGUUAAGUCCCGCAACGAGCGCAACCCUUGUCUCAUGUUGCCAGCGGGUAAUGCCGGGGACUCGUGAGAGACUGCCGGGGUCAACUCGGAGGAAGGUGGGGAUGACGUCAAGUCAUCAUGCCCCUUAUGUCCAGGGCUUCACACAUGCUACAAUGGCCGGUACAAAGGGCUGCGAUGCCGCGAGGUUAAGCGAAUCCUUUUAAAGCCGGUCUCAGUUCGGAUCGGGGUCUGCAACUCGACCCCGUGAAGUCGGAGUCGCUAGUA